CAAUAUUCUUCCUUGUCCACAGUUUUUUCAUAACGGUACUAUUAUCGCUGUGUGCCCUUAAGAUGCGAAUUAUUGCGUUUUGUUUUGGUCGUGUUUAACAUAGUGUAGUGUAAUGUGGUGUAUUUUAUUGUUGCUGUUGGACCUGCUGCUGUUGUUAGGCUGGACCGGAGCCGCGCUCACUGGACAAUAUUUCUGUUUGUUUCGGAUUGGCUGCUGAACUAUCUCAUCGAUUUCGCUGUUGGCUGCUACUCGACGUGUUCCCUCUCGGUAUUCGCUCUCCCAGUGUGGCGAUUAGAUCCUGGAACAAAUUCAAUGGAUUCGACAGGUUUACGGAAUCCCAGCGGGCGCAAUGAUGUUAUCAGAGAAAAAAAUUGCUGUCGUUAUUUGCGUGUUGGAUGAUGAUGGUAAAUUGCUCCCGUAACUUGGAUUGUAGGCUCUAUCAAAAUGAUACGACUGGAUGGCUGCUUCGGAUCGGAUCGCAUUUGACAUCGGUUGCAUGUGACGUAGAAAAUCCGUAUUCUUUACUCCAAAGGUGAAAUGCAAACGGAAUUUCCGCAAUGCCUGAUUCGGUUCAAUCCCUGAAGGUGAAGGGUAUACACGGCCGGUGCAGAUGGUUAACAACUCAAAGUUGACCCUGGGUAUGCUGAACUAAAAUCUGGUGGUGUGGAGCUACGGGGGACACAGGCAGGAGAUCACUAGCAGAUGCCUAUGAUGGAUCUGGUCCUCGUCAGCUGCAGAUUUUCCCAUAUAGUGUGGCUGUGUAGUAUGGUGAAAAUGACGACAUGUAGCUGCAGAACUGCUCACGAUGCUCCGGCCCGACCGAGUGGUGAUCUGGAGAUGGCAGAUGGAUCUCGAUUUGGAUAAUUGCCUCGUCGACCUUCGCUCGCCUUGGUAAUUCAGGACUGCCGGACAGUUGGAUCGAACCUUCAACGACCGAUGGAAUGAUACCUGGGUGCAGAGGGGAACUGCUUAGCAUUUUCAAAAAAAAAAACUCAAAAU